CCUCGCCGCCCUGUCUCUCUGUCUUUGUCUAUUCGUGUCUCAGCAUCCACAGUCAAGUUAUACGUUCAACAUACGCUGUCUACGAAAUAGCAAUGGCAAUAAUUUAGCCUUGUAGUGUUAUCCCAUGUCCUUCCCCUCCUUUCUCCCUCUCCUUCCCAACCACCACUUGUCCAUGGGACGCCUCAUGUCGUCCUUUUGAAACCAAUGAAGCUAUUAUUGCCCGUUCAAUUCUCAGCAAGUUCCGCGACUCGACAUUUGACAUACGAUACAUAACCCGACCCAAUUCCUCUUUUACCUCCAUUAUAUAUAUAUGCGCGACUUAUCACCUGCUCUCUACUUUCCCCGAAGUCAUCGAAUGAUCCAAGCGCCCUCGCGUCGCUGGAGAGCUUGACGAGAGCGAAUGCUUCCAACAUCCGUGCAUGCGAGCCUUUCCCCUUGCUCUCGUCUAGGUUGAUCUGCGCCAGUCAUCCAUUCUGCCCAACAUGGCUAGACGCCAGCGGCCGCAAGAUCGGGAUCUAAGGCAAGGUUCGGAGAGCUCUAGUGCUGGCAGUUGGCGAUCCCAUGAUACCGCGACGCAGGGGGAUCAUAGUCAUGGCCUAGGCCAGGCUUCUACAAGCCGUCACCCGGUUUCUGUGCGGACUUCGGGCUCCGAUCCAAGAUUGCGACCGAUCGGAAAGCCACGGUCAUCUUCAAGGAGUAAUAGGAGUGCUAGGAGUACUAGGAGUGCCAAUCGCCGAUCAUAUUCCCCCGACGUGUCACCAACCGACACGAAGGUUGGUUUUGGAAGCCAUAGGAAAGCCCUCGCGCUUCUCGGUGCUGCAGGCUACCCCCCGCCAUAUUUCCCGGAUAUCCCUCGCGAGACCCAGCGUAGGCGCUCGCCGUCAUGGACACCACCCUCAUCGUUGGAACCAAGCGCGUUGAAAUCAGCCCGGCCGCCAGGAACGUUUCUGAAUGAUGGUUCCGACCAAGAAACCUCUCCCGCCUUUCCCCCCACAGCCACCGACCACGCUGGCCGCAGUGAUUCCCCCGACAACCCCAUGGAACCCGACCAUCGUAGACCGUCUGCUGCAAGUGCCACGACAAUUAGUAGCCAAGGAUCCAAAGAUAGUACUGCUCGCUUCCACAAGUGCCUGCAGCGUUUCUUUGGAGAGGACCAGGGCAAUAUAUCGGAUUCGGCUCUCACCCAAGCCCCCAAGGACAUUUUGAACGACGUAGACCAACCGGUACACGCGGCCUCGACGGAUCCGGAGCUUGCGCAUUUUGCUGGGACGACAGGCGAGAGUAACGUAGAUAAAGAUAGCCAUGUUAACGCCGUCAGACAUCGCCAUUCUCGGAGUGGGGAUGAGAAAUCAGCAAAUCUGGGAACAGAUUUCCCCCAUAUUUUCAAGCCCUCUGAUCAAGAGAACCCCAAACUAGCCUACAGCCGUUUAAAGGACGGCGCACUCUCCCCGACUAGCUCUUCUCCCACAUUCGCCGCUCGCUCGACCAGCCCUUCACCAAGCGUACGCAGUGGAAAUGGGCAAAGGUCGCCCGGAGGCACAUCCAACAAGCGGUCAUUCUUCACAAAGAUACGACGGCAUCCGAAAGUUCCUAUCGCAAGCUCCCUUCGGCACACGCCUGCUUCAUCGAGGACCGUCCCUGAUGGGAACGCCAAGGGACCAAAGUUUUUAAGACGAGAUGGCUCCCCAGCCAGGCGAGGCCGGAAUGCUAGCUUUGACAGUAUCACGAACACUAAGCCGUGGGAUAUGUCUGAUUCCGACCGCAAGAAAGAAAGCUCUGGGAAAGGAGUAUCCAAGUUCCGUCACCCGCGGUUCCCCUUUAGUCACGAUGGAGGACAAAAGUAUCAAGACAAAAAUCAACGUAGUAUUUUCGAUGAAGAUCGGGUCUGGAAGCUAGACACUGAUCUGUCAAACCUCUCUGGUAUUGUCGCGCAACCCCGUUUAUCACCUACUGAUGUAUACACUGGGCCGCCACACCCUGAACUGAAGGAGAAGGAUUUUCAGAAUCCCUUCGAGGUUUCCAUUGCUGGUGACUGGCACGCUCCUGAGAGUUGGGCAGUGAGAAGAGCACAGGACGAUAUCUUAUCCAAAUUUCCUGGGUUACCUGAUCACAGUAUACCUGUGGAUGAAGAAGGCCGGCCGUACUGUGUCCGCAUAUUCCGCAUCGACUCCACUUUCACGACGCUUUCGGCUACCCUCAACACGACUGUGACGGAGAUAUUAGAAAUGCUGGGCCGAAAAUCAUUCUUGCAAGAUGAACUAAACAAUUACGACAUCGUUUUACGGAAGAAUGAUCUUUCCAGAACACUUGAGUAUGGCGAGAGACCUAUUCUCAUGCAGAAGAGAUUGCUCGAACAUGCAGGAUAUCAACAGUCCGACCGAAUAGCAGAUAUCGGCCGGGAAGAUAAUAGCUACCUUUGUCGCUUCACGUUCUUGCCAACUAAACUGUCGGGUUAUUCCAGUCUUGAUACUGAUUUGGGCAUUAACGAGGGUCAGAAGUUCAGCCAUAUUGACCUGUCCGGUCGGAGUCUCAUUACCCUCCCCAUCACCCUCUAUAAAAGAGCGAGCGAGAUCAUAUCCUUAAAUCUCUCAAGAAAUCUAGCACUGGAUAUCCCGAAAGAUUUUAUCCAAAGCUGCAUCAACCUUCGUGAAAUAAAAUAUAUCGGAAACGAAGCAUGGCGCCUUCCAGCAAGUCUAAGCUUAGCGACACGGCUUACCUAUCUAGAUAUCUCUAACAAUCGGCUUGAGAACCUAGACCAUGCAGAGCUUCACAAUCUCCAUGGACUUAUAAGCUUGAAAAUUACGAAUAAUAAGUUGUCCACGCUACCUGCGUAUUUCGGCGAUUUCCCUUUGUUACGAAGCCUGAAUAUCUCGUCCAAUAGUUUCACGUGUUUCCCGGAGUUUUUGUACAAUUUGAGGAACUUGGUCGACCUGGAUAUCAGUUUUAACAAAAUUACAGAAUUGUCGAAUAUCGGACGACUCAAGACGCUGGAGCGGUUGUGGGUGACUAACAACGGACUACAUGGGCCGCUAGGCGAGACCUUCAGAGAUCUUGUGAAUCUCAAAGAGAUAGACGCCCGAUUCAACAGCAUUACUAGUAUAGAUAACAUCACUCAGCUUCCUCGCUUGGAGCACUUGAUGGUUGGACAUAAUACCGUGUCCACAUUUUCAGGGUUCUUUCCAAAGCUACGCACUUUCACCCUUGACCAUUGUCCCGUGACGGAGUUUGAUAUAACCAACCCAGUUCCGACUCUCACGUCUCUCAACAUCGCGUCCGCUAAACUUGUUCAAUUCAAGGACUCCCUCUUCACGAAUAUCCCAAACCUUACCAAACUCAUUCUUAACAAGAACCAUUUCGUUACCCUUUCUCCUUAUAUUGGGACCCUACGAAAACUCGAGCACUUUAGCAUUGCGAAAAACCCGUUAUCAACUCUACCACCGUCCAUAGGUUGUUUGCAAGAGCUGAAGAAUUUGAACCUUCGUGAAUGUAAUCUCAGCAAACUCCCUGCAGAAUUGUGGUACUGUUGUAAACUGGAGACCCUGAAUGUAUCUUCCAACCUCCUCGAUUCCUUUCCGAAAGUCAGUGACU
rnacentral:sRNA from 1 species